AUUGAACGCUGGCGGAAUGCUUUACCCAUGCAAGUCGAACGGUAGAGGGGGCAACCCCUCGAGAGUGGCGAACGGGUGAGUAAUAUAUCGGAACGUGCCCAGUCGUGGGGGAUAACGUAGCGAAAGUUACGCUAAUACCGCAUACGAUCUAAGGAUGAAAGCGGGGGAUCGCAAGACCUCGCGCGAUUGGAGCGGCCGAUAUCGGAUUAGGUAGUUGGUGGGGUAAAGGCUCACCAAGCCAACGAUCUGUAGCUGGUCUGAGAGGACGACCAGCCACACUGGAACUGAGACACGGUCCAGACUCCUACGGGAGGCAGCAGUGGGGAAUUUUGGACAAUGGACGCAAGUCUGAUCCAGCCAUUCCGCGUGCAGGAUGAAGGCCCUCGGGUUGUAAACUGCUUUUGUACGGAACGAAAAGGUCUCUCUUAAUACGGGGGACUCAUGACGGUACCGUAAGAAUAAGCACCGGCUAACUACGUGCCAGCAGCCGCCGUAAGAC
rnacentral:rRNA from 1 species